AGUGAACGCUGGCGGUAGGCCUAACACAUGCAAGUCGAACGGCAGCACAGUAAGAGCUUGCUCUUACGGGUGGCGAGUGGCGGACGGGUGAGGAAUACAUCGGAAUCUACUUUUUCGUGGGGGAUAACGUAGGGAAACUUACGCUAAUACCGCAUACGACCUACGGGUGAAAGCAGGGGAUCUUCGGACCUUGCGCGAUUGAAUGAGCCGAUGUCGGAUUAGCUAGUUGGCGGGGUAAAGGCCCACCAAGGCGACGAUCCGUAGCUGGUCUGAGAGGAUGAUCAGCCACACUGGAACUGAGACACGGUCCAGACUCCUACGGGAGGCAGCAGUGGGGAAUAUUGGACAAUGGGCGCAAGCCUGAUCCAGCCAGACCGCGUGUGUGAAGAAGGCCUUCGGUUUGUAAAGCCCUUUUGCUGGGAAAGAAAAGCAGCAGGUUAAUACCCCGCUGUUCUGACGGUACCCAAAGAAUAAGCACCGGCUAACUUCGUG
rnacentral:rRNA from 1 species